rnacentral:rRNA from 1 species
GAUGAACGCUGGCGGCGUGCUUAACACAUGCAAGUCGAACGGUGAACGAGGGAGCUUGCUCCCUCCGGAUCAGUGGCGAACGGGUGAGUAACACGUGAGCAAUCUGCCCUGGACUCUGGGAUAGGCGUUGGAAACGACGUCUAAUACCGGAUACGAGGCGUGGGGGCAUCCCCAACGCCUGGAAAGAACUUCGGUCCAGGAGGAGCUCGCGGUCUCUCAGCUUGUUGGUGGGGUGAUGGCCUACCAAGGCGACGACGGAUAGCCGGCCUGAGGGGGUGAUCGGCCACACUGGGACUGAGACACGGCCCAGACUCCUACGGGAGGCAGCAGUGGGGAAUCUUGCGCAAUGGGCGGAAGCCCGACGCAGCAACGCCGCGUGGGGGAUGACGGCCUUCGGGUUGUAAACCUCUUUCGCGAUCGGCGAAGCUCAUGCUUCUGGCAUGGGUGACGGUAGGUCGAGAAGAAGCACCGGCCAACUACGUGCCAGCCGCCGCGGUAA